AAGCUCUGUUUUUAGUUUAUAAAUCACUGAACGGCUCAGCACCACAAUACAUUAGAGAUCCACUGUUGUUGCAUCAACCUUCCAUACCAAAAUGUAAUUUAUUUAAGAAAGCAAGCAUAUUUAUGGACCAUAUCAAUGAUAUUCUAUAUUACAAGUCAGUU